CCUGCUUAUGAUCGUGCAUAGUACAUGCAAGUCGAGCGAUCAGACAAGGAGCUUGCUCCUUUGACGUUAGCGGCGGACGGGUGAGUAACACGUGGGUAACCUACCUAUAAGACUGGGAUAACUUCGGGAAACCGGAGCUAAUACCGGAUAAUAUUUCGAACCGCAUGGUUCGAUAGUGAAAGAUGGUUUUGCUAUCACUUAUAGAUGGACCCGCGCCGUAUUAGCUAGUUGGUAAGGUAACGGCUUACCAAGGCGACGAUACGUAGCCGACCUGAGAGGGUGAUCGGCCACACUGGAACUGAGACACGGUCCAGACUCCUACGGGAGGCAGCAGUAGGGAAUCUUCCGCAAUGGGCGAAAGCCUGACGGAGCAACGCCGCGUGAGUGAUGAAGGUCUUCGGAUCGUAAAACUCUGUUAUUAGGGAAGAACAUACGUGUAAGUAACUAUGCACGUCUUGACGGUACCUAAUCAGAAAGCCACGGCUAACUACGUGCCAGCAGCCGCGGUAAUACGUAGGUGGCAAGCGUUAUCCGGAAUUAUUGGGCGUAAAGCGCGCGUAGGCGGUUUUUUAAGUCUGAUGUGAAAGCCCACGGCUCAACCGUGGAGGGUCAUUGGAAACUGGAAAACUUGAGUGCAGAAGAGGAAAGUGGAAUUCCAUGUGUAGCGGUGAAAUGCGCAGAGAUAUGGAGGAACACCAGUGGCGAAGGCGACUUUCUGGUCUGUAACUGACGCUGAUGUGCGAAAGCGUGGGGAUCAAACAGGAUUAGAUACCCUGGUAGUCCACGCCGUAAACGAUGAGUGCUAAGUGUUAGGGGGUUUCCGCCCCUUAGUGCUGCAGCUAACGCAUUAAGCACUCCGCCUGGGGAGUACGACCCGCAAGGGUUGAAACUCAAAGGAAUUGACGGGGACCCGGCACAAGCCGGUGAAGCAUGUGUUUUAAUUCGAAGCAACGCGGAGAACCUUACCAAAUCUUGACAUCCUUUGACAACUCUAGAGAUAG
rnacentral:rRNA from 1 species